UACGUAGGGUGCAAGCGUUGUCCGGAAUUAUUGGGCGUAAAGAGCUCGUAGGCGGUUUGUCGCGUCUGCUGUGAAAACUCGGGGCUUAACUCCGGGCCUGCAGUGGGUACGGGCAGACUAGAGUGCGGUAGGGGUGACUGGAAUUCCUGGUGUAGCGGUGAAAUGCGCAGAUAUCAGGAGGAACACCGGUGGCGAAGGCGGGUCUCUGGGCCGUAACUGACGCUGAGGAGCGAAAGCGUGGGGAGCGAACAGG
rnacentral:rRNA from 1 species